AACGAACGCUGGCGGCAUGCCUAACACAUGCAAGUCGAACGAGACCUUCGGGUCUAGUGGCGCACGGGUGCGUAACGCGUGGGAACCUGCCCUUAGGUUCGGAAUAACUCUCCGAAAGGGGUGCUAAUACCGGAUAAUGUCUUCGGACCAAAGAUUUAUCGUCUUUGGAUGGGCCCGCGUUGGAUUAGCUAGUUGGUAGGGUAAAAGCCUACCAAGGCGACGAUCCAUAGCUGGUCAGAGAGGAAGAUCCGCCACACUGAGACUGAGACACGGCCCAGACUCCUACGGGAGGCAGGAGUGGGGAAUAUUGGACAAUGGGCGAAAGCCUGAUCCAGCAAUGCCGCGUGAGUGAUGAAGGCCUGAGGGUUGUAAAGCUCUUUUACCCGGGAUGAUAAUGACAGUACCGGGAGAAUAAGCUCCGGCUAACUCCGUG
rnacentral:rRNA from 1 species